rfam:Triticum aestivum genome assembly, contig: Triticum_aestivum_CS42_TGACv1_scaffold_404561_5BL
GUACUACUCCGUCCGUUCGGAAUUACUUGUCUCGAAAAUGGAUGUAUCUAGAUCUAAAAUACGUUUAGAUACAUCUAUUUCCGCGACAAGUAAUUCCGAACGGAGGGAGUAGUUG